UACAGAGGGUGCGAGCGUUGUCCGGAAUCACUGGGCGUAAAGGGCGCGUAGGCGGCCUAGCAAGUCACUUGUGAAAUCUCCGGGCUUAACUCGGAACUGCCAAGUGAAACUGCUGGGCUAGAGUGCAGAAGGGGCAAUCGGAAUUCUUGGUGUAGCGGUGAAAUGCGUAGAUAUCAAGAGGAACACCUGAGGUGAAGACGGGUUGCUGGGCUGACACUGACGCUGAGGCGCGAAAGCCAGGGGAGCAAACGGG
rnacentral:rRNA from 1 species